rnacentral:lncRNA from 1 species
UUUUUUAAUGUAGAGACAGGGUUUCGCUAUGUUGGCCAGACUGGUCUCAAACUCCUGACCUCAAGUGAUCUGCCCGCCUUGGCCUCCCAAAGUGCCAGAUUACAGGCGUGAGCCACUGCGUGUGGCCCAAAAUUUCUUAAUAUAGCACCAUCUUUGAUUCUUCAAUUUCUGGAAUAAACUCCACUUGAUCUUGUGUAUUAUUCUUUUUUUUUUUUUUUUUUGAGAUAGAGUUUCACUCUUGUUGCCCAGGCUAGCGUGCAAUGGCACAAUCUCUGCUCACUGCAACCUCUGCCUCCCGAGUAGCUGGGAUUAUAGGCGUGCACCACCACGCCCAGCUAAUUUUUGUAUUUUUAGUAGAGACAAGGUUUCACCAUGUUGGCCAGGCUGGUAUCAAACUCCUGACCUCAGGUGAUCUGCCCAGCUUGGCCUCCCAAAGUGCUGGGAUUACAGGUGUGAGCCACCAUGCCCAGCCUGCUGGCACACAUUCUAAAGAGAGCCAACUGGCACAACCUGAGGACUUCUGAGAGGACCAGAGCACCAGUGGCCUCCCCAUCCACCUUCCCUCCCUUCUCCUCCAGGUUACCUAAGGGAACCCCAGAGGAAUUCAAGGAGGAUGGGGUGAUUCUGAAGCUACGGUCCAGCAUGGCAUGCUAUGGUCUUGAAGCCUAUGAAAUUCACUCUUCAACAAACUUGGCAUCUACGUUAAGCAUGUGAAUGUACAGAGUUAUCAAUCAACAAUAGCCUUUAAGAUUAUUGUAAUCCCCUAAGUACUUCGGCCCCAGGUAGCCACCCACUGCUGGAUGUCAGAGGACAUCACGGUGCUCUUUCCUGCCUGCACCCCUAGUCUGGAAUGCUUACCCCACAUCUCUGCUGAGUGAACUCCUUCCUAUUCAUGCUUCAAGACCCAGCUCAGUCCUGGCUCAGCUGACCCCUUGGUUCCUGUGUCUGUUCCCUGCUGGGCUGCAGGUAACCAAUUGAAAGAUAAGAUACCAUAGACAGACAUCAACUUUAUUCCUGACUAAAGCUCAAAAGAAGGGCGUGGCGUAGAUUUACAGUGACCAUCCUAACACUCACGCGCAGAGUCACACGGUCCCACACUGGGCUGGACCAGCCCUGCUAAGCCCACAAGAGGUGGGGAGAACAGCAGCCGCUUCCUCUUUGUGGGGCCCAGGCCUGAGCUUCCCUCCGUUCCUGCCCCGGAUCUGACCACUGGGAUUGUGGGAGAGGGUGUCAAAGGACAGUUUUCUCCCAUAGUUUUCCCUUCCAGGGAGAAGAGUGGAAAUCCCCUCAUCUCAAAGGCAACAUGAGAUUGGAGAAUGUACUCUCAAAUCCCCAAACAGCAACAGAAUUGUUCUGCUUGCUUCAGAGCAGAGGCUCCGCAGCCCUUUCCAGACCUCUCCCAAGCGUGGAAAUGGACGAAGGGCUGGAUGGGGCUCAGAGGGGAGGUCAGGCGGGACUCCCUCAGACAGCAGCUGGGGUUCCUCUGUUCCAGGCCCAGCUCUCACUGAAACAGGAGAGGGUGUGAAGGAAUGGAUUUGGAACUGUCAAGAACUCCUUCCUUAGUGGGCAGUGGAGGUAAUGCAGGGUUCAGACCAUCUGUGCCCUGGACAGAGGCCUCUUUCUUCCCCAGGAAUGCUAAGCACAUGGGCAUCCUGAUACCUCAACUCCUCCAGUCCCAAAUACUCUGCCUGUUUGUCCCCUUUGUCCUGAGCCACCCCGUAGGACCUGCAGGUCAGGCACUGACUUCAUGUCAGGUCCCCGAAGCAGUUUUGUUCUCUCAGCAGUGUCCACUGGCCUGCAGCCAGGCACCUCUCUCCCCCAGCCUGGGUCACUGGCAAGGGAGCAAGAAGAGUUCUGGGCUCACAGCAGGCAGUGGAGUGUAGUCACAGAGCCUGAUCCGGCUUGAAAUCCCAGAUCCUUUGCUUACUAGGCUGUGUGGCCUUAGGUGAGUUACUUAAUCUCUCCGUGCUUCAGUUUCUGCAUAUGUAAAACAGGGAUAAUAUCUAGCUCACUGGGUUAUGAUGAGACGUAAGUAACUUCAUACAAACCCCUUAGGACUGAUGCCUGGGCAUUUCUAAGUACUCAGUGAAGGCAAGCUGCUGUUUUUAUGGGCCCAGGUCUAGGAAAAAAGAAUCAAACAGCCAGGGGAAAGGGGAUGCUCUCCACUGUAUAUUAAGUUCUAUCAUAGGGACCAUUUUAGCUAAACACAGAAAAACAGAGGAGGGGGCUGGGUGUGGUGGCUCAUGCCUGUAAUCCCAGACCUUAGGAGGCUGGAUUGCUUGAGCCCAGGAGUUCGAGACCAGCCUGGGCAAUAAAGUGAGACCCCCAUCUACAAAAGAUACAAAAUUUAGCUGGGUGUGGUGGCGCAUGCCUGUAGUUCCAGCUACUAGGGGGCAGGGUGAGGUGGGAGGGUAACUUGAGCCUGGGAGGCAGAGGUUGCAGUGAGCUGAGAUUGCAUCACUGGUCUCCAGCCUGGGCGACAGAGGGAGAUCCUAUCUCAAAAAAAAAAAAAAAAAAAAGACAGAGGAGGAACAAGGAACAAUUAUCCCCCAUUUUACAGAUCAAAAGCUGAGUGAAGCAGUGGUCCAGCUGGAAUUCAACACCUGAGAUAUCUGACUCCAGAUACCAGCCCUUCCUUGCUUCCCACUAGCUGCCUAACCCAGAGAGGAGAUUGGGAAAAGAGAAACAAGUUACAGAAUUCAAGAUGUCCCACUCAAACAUGGUAGCCACACUGAACUGAAUGAAGGCCCCCAAAUGCCUGCUUUCCCUUCUUCCAGCCUCUGCAGUGAAACUGCCAUUGCAAACUUGUAACAGACAGUGAAAGAGAUCUGACCUAACCAACUUCAUCUUGCUUCUAACCUCCAAGCUGUCCUUGUUGGUUCCUGGGCACAGGCUGAACUGACUUUGGGAGAAAGUUUAUAGUUUAAAACAAAGACGAUAACAGCCCUUUCCCAAAACAAACCUCCUUCUUGCCUGGGGACUAGACUGCCUUUGCAGGACAAGAAAUUAGCCACAAGAUUAGAAAUUAUGGUUUAGGAGUCAUGCAGCUGGAGACUACCAGGUUCUGACCCUCCCUAAACUGCUCCUCAGAUCAGUGCUUGAGACAUUUUGCAGACCCUGCACUUGAUGGAUCGGCUGGCACCACCCAGAUCAAUAAACUGGCUCAUCUGAUCUUGCAGCCUCCACCCAGGAACUGACUCAGCGCAAGAAGACAGCUUCGACUCUGUAUGAGUUCAUCUCCAACCUGACCAAUCAGCACUCCCGGCUCACUGGCUUCCCCCCAUCCACCAAGUUGUCCUUAAAACUCUGCUCCCCGAAUGCUUGGGGAGACUUAUUUGAGUAAUAAUAAAACUCUGUUCUUCUGCAC